rnacentral:rRNA from 1 species
GACGAACGCUGGCGGCGUGCUUAACACAUGCAAGUCGAACGAAGAGCGAUGGAAGCUUGCUUCUAUCAAUCUUAGUGGCGAACGGGUGAGUAACGCGUAAUCAACCUGCCCUUCAGAGGGGGACAACAGUUGGAAACGACUGCUAAUACCGCAUACGAUCUAACCUUGGCAUCGAGGAUGGAUGAAAGGUGGCCUCUAUUUAUAAGCUAUCACUGAAGGAGGGGAUUGCGUCUGAUUAGCUAGUUGGAGGGGUAACGGCCCACCAAGGCGAUGAUCAGUAGCCGGUCUGAGAGGAUGAACGGCCGCAUUGGGACUGAGACACGGCCCAGACUCCUACGGGAGGCAGCAGUGGGGAAUCUUCCGCAAUGGACGAAAGUCUGACGGAGCAACGCCGCGUGAGUGAUGACGGCCUUCGGGUUGUAAAGCUCUGUUAAUCGGGACGAAAGGCCUUCUUGCGAAUAGUGAGAAGGAUUGACGGUACCGGAAUAGAAAGCCACGGCUAACUACGUGCCAGCAGCCGCGGUAAUACGUAGGUGGCAAGCGUUGUCCGGAAUUAUUGGGCGUAAAGCGCGCGCAGGCGGAUAGGUCAGUCUGUCUUAAAAGUUCGGGGCUUAACCCCGUGAUGGGAUGGAAACUGCCAAUCUAGAGUAUCGGAGAGGAAAGUGGAAUUCCUAGUGUAGCGGUGAAAUGCGUAGAUAUUAGGAAGAACACCAGUGGCGAAGGCGACUUUCUGGACGAAAACUGACGCUGAGGCGCGAAAGCCAGGGGAGCGAACGGGAUUAGAUACCCCGGUAGUCCUGGCCGUAAACGAUGGGUACUAGGUGUAGGAGGUAUCGACCCCUUCUGUGCCGGAGUUAACGCAAUAAGUACCCCGCCUGGGGAGUACGACCGCAAGGUUGAAACUCAAAGGAAUUGACGGGGGCCCGCACAAGCGGUGGAGUAUGUGGUUUAAUUCGACGCAACGCGAAGAACCUUACCAGGUCUUGACAUUGAUGGACAGAACUAGAGAUAGUUCCUCUUCUUCGGAAGCCAGAAAACAGGUGGUGCACGGUUGUCGUCAGCUCGUGUCGUGAGAUGUUGGGUCAAGUCCCGCAACGAGCGCAACCCCUAUCUUAUGUUGCCAGCACUUUGGGUGGGAACUCAUGAGAGACUGCCGCAGACAAUGCGGAGGAAGGCGGGGAUGACGUCAAAUCAUCAUGCCCCUUAUGACCUGGGCUACACACGUACUACAAUGGGAGUUAAUAGACGGAAGCGAGAUCGCGAGAUGGAGCAAACCCGAGAAACACUCUCUCAGUUCGGAUCGUAGGCUGCAACUCGCCUACGUGAAGUCGGAAUCGCUAGUAAUCGCAGGUCAGCAUACUGCGGUGAAUACGUUCCCGGGCCUUGUACACACCGCCCGUCACACCACGAAAGUCGGAAGUGCCCAAAGCCGGUGGGGUAACCUUCGGGAGCCAGCCGUCUAAGGUAAAGUCGAUGAUUGGGGUG